GGUGAACGCUGCGGCACGCCUUACACAUGCAAGUCGAACGGCAGCACGGGAGCAAUCCUGGUGGCGAGUGGCGAACGGGUGAGUAAUACAUCGGAACGUGCCCAAUCGUGGGGGAUAACGCAGCGAAAGCUGUGCUAAUACCGCAUAAGAUCUACGGAUGAAAGCAGGGGACCGCAAGACCUUGCGCGAAUGGAGCGGCC
rnacentral:rRNA from 1 species